UAUUUAGGGUUAAAUUCUUUUUGGGUAAUGGGUUAAUUUUUCAUUUAUUAAUAUUUGGGGAUUUUAUUUUUAUUUUGUUUUAUUGUAAUGAAUCUGGUUAUACGUACCAUAAAUGAAUCUCAAGCAAAGCCUUUAUCUCAAUCCUUUGUUUUAUUGUAAUGAAUCUCAAGCAAAGCCUUUGUUUUAUUUUGUUUUAUUUGGGGAUUUGCUAAAUGAGUUUUAUGAUAUGUCCACUGUUUGUUUGAGAUUAAUAGGACUAAUAUGCUUCUAGAUGUGUAGAACUUAGCAACUGAGAUCUUCAUGAAAAUAAUUAUUAUUCUUUACCCAAAAAACUUGGUAAGUUCAAUGCUAAAUGAGAUUAAUAAUUGAUUUGCUAAAUGAGUUUUAUGCUAUGUCCACUGUUUGUUUGACAUUAAUGACAUAAAUUGCUAUAAAAUUUAUCAUUAAAAUAGGAUUAAAUUGUUGAACGAGUCACUCUAUUGUUGAAUGAGUCAUUGUUUUAUCUUAUUUAUGUUUCUGAUUUUUUUUUUUGUUUGUUCCUAUCCUCUUGCACACGUUUAGGAUGUGCUUAGGCUGUGCUGUUAGUGUGUUACUUAGUUCCUAUUUUGUAGCCAGUUAGUUGUAGUCCUAAGUCUAUAAACUUGGCCUUUUUCAGUUUUCAUUGAAUAAGAGAAACACUUAUUUUUCCCUUCCAAAACAGUUUCUGUGUUUAACACAAAUUAGUGUUGGAAGGAUGAAACUGGCAGCGUUAUUAAUAAUACUAAUCAUUGAAGGACUAUUUUGAUAUCACUGUUAAGUGGAGAAGAAAUUUGAGGCAUGUAUAUUUUUGGAGAACCAAAUUAAGUGUCUUGUUACUUUAAUGUAGGAAUUUAUAUAGAUUUUAGCCAGUAUCUGUUUUUCAUUUCUUUUGGCAGGGGAGGUAGUUGUUGAUUGAAUUGAUAUUUUACCUAUUGGAUGAAUGAUUAAUGUUAAAAUCAUGUUUGUUGAAAUGUGUUGGAAUUCUUAAAUUAGAGUAAUGAUGCUUUUGAAUUCAUGAGAAAAUGAUUGAUGACUUGAAAAUAUUUUAGUCCAUAAUUGAUACUGUAAACUCCUUCAUUGUAUUAUGACAGCUAUAUCUAGGAAAGAAGAUAAGGGCAAGAAGGUUGCUUCAUCAGAGCCUAUUAAAAAAAAUUCAAAGUAUACAAUUGCAGAGGAAGUGGAGCCAAUUUGGGCAAGAAGGUCAGAGGGCAUUGUUAUUCGUGAGCCUAGUAGUGAUGGUCGACCUCCACACAGAUCUCCUUCGCCGACAUAUCCACCUCCAGACACUGCUCAUUCCACGACAUGUCCACCUGCCCAUCGUGAUACUACUCCAUCUCCUACUAUACCUGGAGUUUCUCCUAGUAUAACUGGAGUUUCUUUCACUCGAGUUACUAUGUCUGGUGUUAAUCCUCCACUCUAUACACACUCACCAAGACAUACCACUCCAAUCUCUGCAAGGUCUCCUGCUCCAUCUCCUAGUAUACAUGGAGUUACCAUGUCAGGUGUUAAUCCUCCACUCUACACACACUCACUAAGACAUACUACCACCCCCAUCUCUGCAAGGCCUCCUACUCCAUCUCCUAGUAUAAAUGGAGUUUCAUUCCCUUGAGGAACUGUGUCUAGUGUUACUCCUCCACUACAUACACACUCACCAGGAUAUAAUAAUACUCAUUUCUCUGCAAGACCUCCUACAUUAUCAUCAGAUCUUUUACCAGAUGUCCGUUUUUUAGAAUUUCUUAGUAUUAAUGGAAUAUUUAUACCAGUACCUGAGGUGCAACAAGAACAAGAACAAGAGCAACAACAACACUGUGAGCAAGAACAUCAAAGCCAACAACAAGAAAGGGAAGCAGCACAACAAAGACGAGAACGGAAGAAUAUUGCUGAAGACCGUUCUUAUCGCCCUCAUUGGAUGGCCGAAGACCAUUGGCGUGCCUUGUUGUCCUAUUGGGCUGCAAAUGAUAGAUAUAAAAAGCGCUCCACGGCUAAUAAAAGGAAUAGAGCAAGUUCUAGACAAGCUCGCCACACACAAGGUUCUGUUACUAGUGCAACCCACGCGAGACAUAUGGCAAAAGAUCUUGGAAGAGAUCCCUAGUAGACGAGCUUCAUCGAGAAAACCAUAUUAUACAUGGUACAGAUGUCUACGUUGAUGAUCGCUCCUAUAAUACACAGGUAGCUUUUCGGGAGGAGGUACGACUAUUCUUGGAAGAGUCACGAGAAUAUUCGACCUAUGAAGAAUUGCCUGAUGCGAUCAAGCUGGAACUUUGGAGGAAGGUAUCAGGACCCGGGACAAAGCAUAAGUGGUAUGGUCUUGGUCGGUAUGCUCCCCUCAUGGAGCAUGGAUCUGUAAUCAAUGAGUCUUCAUUUGGAGAAGGGUCUUCAAGUAACCUGGAAACGUUGCCUCCUCAUGUGAUUGCCCAGAUAAAACAUUUGACACAGGAGUUGCAGGCUCGUAAGCUAAUGGAGCAAGAGUUGCGGGACAAGAUGGAACGGGACGCUGAGCAAUAUAGAGCAUUUCAAGAAAGCGUUGAUCGACGGUUUGAGGAAUUGAUCGCAAGCACAUAAAGGCGACUUGGUGUUGAAGAAAAUGGUUCAGAUGAGUCAAACAAUCCCAACAUUGAGGAGGAUGAAAGUGAUGACACCAAUUAAAUAUGAUGCUUCAGAUGAGAAGAAUAUUUUGACUACUUUAUUUAAAUAUGAUGCUUUAGAUAGUUUUAGGCUAGUUUUGUGGACUAUGUGAAUGCUGCAGUUUGAUAUUGCAGCAGCUAUGUUCUUCUGUUUUGGCUGUUGUUGAUGCUGCAGUAGCAGUUAUUAGGUUUUGUUUUGGCUGGUGGAUCUGUGUUCGAUUUUGAUGCAGGGAUAUGCUAUUGUAGCCCUUUGUGUAUAUUCCUCGCAUCAUUAUUGGGUCUUGUUUUUGGGGUUUUGGUGUACAGCUUAUAUACGGUCCUUUUUGUACUUUCUUCCGCGAGUUGCGGGUGUGUCUUACACCCUCUCGUCGAUGAAUAUAUUUUCCGUUUAUUUGG